rnacentral:hammerhead_ribozyme from 1 species
AUCCAGCUGACGAGUUCCACAUAGGAGAGAACUCAUGUCCUGGAU